rnacentral:lncRNA from 1 species
GAAAAAAUCUGGACCGGUCUUCCAGAGAGUGAGGGCAGCGGUCCGAGUGCUUUAAGUGCCAGUGACAGAGUCCUGGGCAAAGCGGUGCCCUCCAGAACCGCUGGUCUCUGCCGAGCCUGUGUGACCGUGGCUGAGGACCCCUGGCCCUGGAGGAGGACCUGCCCCUAUUCCAGGUGGAAAUGAGGUUGUCCGCCACCGUGCUGGCCAGUGAGGAAUGCCCAACGUGACUGGCAGUGGCCGGGGCCUGUGUGGCCCCACAUGAGGACAUCCGAUCCCGUGCAGGCCACUGGAGGAACUCUGGACUUGGCAGCAUGGUGGAGAGCUCAGAAGUUCCUCCUCUCCGCUUCACCAAUGAUGAAUCCAAGGCACCAUGAAGGGGAAGCCUCAGUUCCUCAUCCAUAGAAUGGGGGUAAAAACAGGACCUACUGAGCCGGGCAUGGAGGUACACACCUGUGAUCCCAGCACUAAGAAAGCUGAGGCAGGAGGACCACAAGUUCAAGGCCAGCCUGAACUGCACAUUACUGAAGAUGAUCAAGUGUGGUACAGAAACUCCCUCACCCUCAAGGUGAAGGUGAACAUCAAGGUUUGACUGAAAAGCAGCAGAGAAACUGGAUGAACAUACUCAGGUGUCCCUUUCCACCUGAGAAGCUGCUGUUGCAUCACCAGGUAACUUAGACAUGGUGGAAGGUUUGUUUUUGUUUUGUUUUUGGUACCGGGGAUUGAACUCGGGUCCUUGUGCUUGCGAGGCAGGUGGCAGAACCACUGAGCUAAAUCUCCAGCCCCAGUGGAAGGUUUGAUGCAGAAAAUCCUAUCUUCAGCUCUGAGAUUUUCAAAUGUGCCUGAGGAUGGACUCAAUCCAUGAAUCACGGAC